UUAAUGAGUCUGUUGCUGAAAAGGACAAUUCACCACAACUUGGCAGUUCCAUGGAGAAAGAUAACUUACCAUUGCCUGACAGACCUCCGAUGCAAAAAGGCCCCAACCAUCUGUGCCUGUCGAUGCUCGAAGCAAUCCGAGCAAGUGGGGCAGAUAGAAGUAGAAACAUCGCCUGGUAGGCAAGGCAUCUUUUGGAGACCCAAGAAUUUUUGUUAACGUUGCUGUAAAUGGACGGUUUCUUAUUAGUAUGCCUGUACGAGCGAUUCCUGUGCUUGAGCUUCGGCUCGUGGGCACUUACCGCCACAUCACUUGGUUGCUUAUGGGCAACAAUGACAGCUAUCACAAUCAUGUUGCUGUCCAUCCGGACUAUCAGGCUACUUGGCUAGAAGCUGU